ensembl:lncRNA
UUUAUUGAUAGUUCAGGCCAGCAGUGAUGAGGUCACUGACAGAAGCCUGAGGACUAUAAAAAAUGAUUUUAGGGGACUGGAGAGGUUAGUUGAUGGAGCAGGCAUACAAGUUGUAUUUGCCUGCAUUCCUACAGUGGCAGGGAAGGACACUAAGACAACCAGGAAAACCCAUCUUAUAAACACAUGGCUGAGAGGCUGGUGCAAAUGCAAGAAUUUGGGGUUCUUUGAUCAUGGGGCAGUCUACUCAGCACCUGCCCUGAGGUCUGCAGAUGGGUAUCACCUGUUUCAAAGGGGAAAACAGAUUCUUGCCCAGGAGCUGGCAGGACUUGCUGAGAGGGCUUUAAACUAGAUAUGAAGGGGGAAGGGGAUAAAACCAGGCCUGCUAGAGAUGGGCCUGGGGGAGCAGUAAUGGGAUUAGGGGUGAGGUGAGGGGCUUACCUGAAGUGCAUCUACACCAAUGCACGUAGCAUGGGCAACAAAGAGGAAGAGUUGGAAGCCAUUGUGCAGGCAAGCUAUGACCUAGUUGCCAUUACAGAAACAUGAUGGGACUGCUCCCAUGACUAGAGUGCUGCAAUGGAUAACUACAAACUCUUCAGGAAGGAUAGGCAAGGAAGGAGGGGUGGUGGCGUGGCUCUCUGUGUUAGAGGGUGCUUUGAUGUUACUGAGCUUGUGGGUGGGGAUGAUAAGGUUGAAUCCCUACGGGUAAAGAUCCAGGGAAGAGCUGACAAGGCAGACAUCUUGGUGGGCAUCUGUUAUAGACCGCCGAACCAGGAUGAAGAGACAGAUGAAGUGUUCUACAAGCAGCUGGCAGAAGCUGCUUGAUCUCCAGCCCUUGUCCUUGUCCUCAUGGGGGUCUUCAACCUCCCUAACAUAUGCUGGGAAUACAACAUAGCACAAACAAAGCAGUCUAGGAGGUUUCUGGAGUGUAUGGAGGAUAACUUCCUGAUGCAGCUGGUGAGGGAGCCUAUGAGAGGAGCUGCCCUGUUAGACCUGCUGUUCACAAACAGAGAAAGUGUGGUGGGAGAUGUGGAGGUCAGGGGCUGUCUAGGACAGAGUGACCAUAAAAUGGUAGAGUUCUCAAUUCUUGGUGGAGCCAGGAGGGGGAACAGCAAAACUGCUACCUUGGACUUCCGGAGGGUAGACUUUGAAUUGUUCAGAAGACUAGUAGGGGGAGUCCCCUGGGAUUCAGUCUUAGAGAGUAAAGGGGUCCAAGACGGCUGGUUGCUCUUUAAGAAGGAAGUCUUAAAGGCACAGGAGCAGGCUAUUCCCCUGAGCUGCAAAAAGAGCUGGUGGGUAAGAACACCGGUGUGGAUGAACAGGGGACUAUUCUUGAGGCUCGAGGAGAAAAAGAGAAUCUACUUCCUGUGGAAGAAGGGACAGGCAACUCAGAAAGAAUACAAAGAAGCUGUUAAGAUGUGCAGGGAGAAAAUCAGAAAGGCAAAAGCCCAGCUUGAACUCAACCUGUCUGCUGGGGUAAAAGGAAACAAGAAACUCUUUUAUUAAUAUAUCAACAGUAAGAGGAGGACCAAGGUGAAUCUCCAUUCUUUACUAGCAGAGGUUCUGAAUGCCUUCUUUACAUCUGUCUUUAAAAGUCAGACCAGUUAUCCUCAGGGUACUCCACUCUCUGACCUGGUAGUCUCGGCUGGGGAGUAGAUUAAACCCCCCCACACAAUUCAGGAGGAAACAGUCAGAGACCUACUACUCCA